rnacentral:lncRNA from 1 species
AACUAAUCAUAAGAAGAAGAAAAACAAUAGUAAGAAAAAUAAGAAGAAUAAGCUCAGUUGAAUGCUAGCAAUAAUAAUAAAAAUAAAUUAAAAAUGAGCAAAAGAGAAAUGACAAAAAAAAUUAAUAAUCAAGCUAAAUAAAAUAAGAAAACAAAAUAAGAUAAAUAAUAAGAAGAAUAAAUACUAAAAAUAAAAUAAAUGAAAGAAAAAAUAAAAUAAAUCAGAAUAAAAGUAAAAUAAUAAAUAAUAAAUAAUAAAUAGAUAAAUUGGGUAAAUGGGGAGGAAACCUACAGAGGAGCGGUGACUGAAGUUAUAACGGGGGUGGUGAGCACGAGGAGGGGUGCAAGGAACAGACGCGACAAAAGGGGAGAGGAGCAGGUAGUGGUCGAUGGUGAUAGGGAGGGGUUGGUCGCGGUGGUUCGGCAAGGGGGAAGGGUUGGGUGUUGGAUGAGGAAGAAAGGGAAAAGGAGGUAAAUCGCGAGUGGGAAAGUGACCGGGGUUGGUGCGAAGCGGAGUGAGAGAAAAAGGGGGCAAGGAUGAUGGUGGUCGGAAUGGAAGCGUCAACGUGGGUAAAAGCAGAACAGUGGUAUGGGGGCUUUGGGAUUGGAAAAAGACAGAAACAAAAUGGGGUUUAAGGUUUUAAAG